rnacentral:rRNA from 1 species
AUGGUUGGCUUUGGGACUUUUGGUGGCAGUAUAUUCUUAUGCCGACGACAAGCAUUUGUACCAUUAAUUGUGCCUCAGCUUCGUAGCCGAUCUUCGAUCGUCCAUGGCAUCAACACACAAAUUGAUAAUGCAAACCUCAGCUCCAAGAAUACGCGGAGGAGGUGGCCCGGGUCGGCGUCGGCGCCGUCCGGCACGGGCCACGGGCCCGCUUCCAAGCGCAUCUGCGCGUCGGCCACCCACGCCGUGUCCUUCAAGUGCCACUUCCACCGCAAACUCCCAGGGUCACGGCCAUGGCCAGGGCCAGGGAAGCCGCCCUUCUUCGCCUCCUUCACCAGCCGCAGCCAACGCGGUGCCGCGGCACCCGGCCUCGCCGUCCUCGUCCUCCAGCACCGUCGCGACCCAGUGACGCAGCCCAAGCAUCGGCCUCGAGAAUCAAGAACGCUCGACAACGUAGAGGGAAGGAAAGGUCAUAUACAUGUCAUAAGAAAGGGAGUUUAUUUACCGCUCCCUCGAUGUAUUGUUUCCUUUGUUUGGAGAUUGAUUACCAUCCGUGAGUUAAGAUUUCUUUCGUUGUGUGAGAUGGUGACGCGAAAAUAA